rnacentral:rRNA from 1 species
AUUGAACGCUGGCGGCAGGCCUAACACAUGCAAGUCGAACGGUAACAGGAAGAAGCUUGCUUCUUUGCUGACGCGUGGCGGACGGGUGAGUAAUGUCUGGGAAACUGCCUGAUGGAGGGGGAUAACUACUGGAAACGGUAGCUAAUACCGCAUAACGUCGCAAGACCAAAGAGGGGGACCUUCGGGCCUCUUGCCAUCGGAUGUGCCCAGAUGGGGUUAGCUAGUUGGCGGGGUAACGGCACACCAAGGCGACGCUCCCUAGCUGGUCUGAGAGGAUGAUCAGCCACACUGGAACUGAGACACGGUCCAGACUCCUACGGGAGGCAGCAGUGGGGAAUAUUGGACAAGGGGCGCAAGCAUGAUCCAGCCAUACCGCGUGGGUGAAGAAGGCCUUCGGGUUGUAAAGCCCUUUUGUUGGGAAAGAAAAGCAGCAGGUUAAUACCCCGCUGUUCUGACGGUACCAAAAGAAUAAGCACCGGCUAACUUCGUG